AGCAGAUUGAAAAUGAACACGACUGAGAUAUAUAAUAACGGCACGACAGCAUGGAUAAACAGCACGAAUAUUUUCGUGCCGUACCGUCUGCCGUUUAACCGAGUGGCGAUCGCUAUCUGUGCGUCUAUACUAGUACCGUUAACGGUAUUUGGUCUAGCAGCAAACACAAUUACUAUUAUCGUAAUUGCAAAGUCUCCAAAACUGAGGUCCAUUUUCAACUUUAUGAUUUUGAGUCUUUGCGUUUCGGAUUUUUUAUCUGCUUUGCUUAGCCCGCUGUUUCUAUACCGGCGAACAUGGGGUUUUGAGGACUGGCAAAUUUCGUCGUUUUUGUGCAAGGUAUAUUUAUAUGCCAGACAAACACCCAC